GACUAUGGCCAUGCUACCCCAAACAAGCUCGAUCUCGUCUGAUCUCAGAAGCUAAGCAGGGUUGGGCCUGGUUAGUACUUGCAUAGGAGACCACCUAGGAAGACCAGGUACUGUAGGUG
rnacentral:rRNA from 1 species